rnacentral:lncRNA from 1 species
CCUCCUUUACCACCCAGGGUUUUCACAAUGGACACCUUUCCCUGGGGCUCCAGUGUAGUAUGUUCUGGAAUGGGCUUGGGAUUGCAGGCCUUUCUGUGACUCACCUCAUCAUCUGUGUCAGGAUCAUGCACUCUGAGGAUACAGUUCUAAGAAGGGUUACAGUGUGCAUUCGUCAAACAACUGCGUCCUGGCCCCUCUGAGGAGACACAGUAAGCAGUGUGUCAGUGAUCAAGUCAGAGGGAAAAACUCUUCAUCACAAAUCAUACUUUGAUAUUGGAGUGAGCAGGAUGUAGUCCACAGGGUACCACACCCACCUCACUUCUCUUCACCCUUCUGUCACUCCUGGCCACCAGUAGAGCCCACAGGCCGUUGGUACCAAGUCUCAUCCUCACUCUGACUCCCGAUGGGCGCUGAAGACGCAUCUUUUCAGUAACUGUAUCCUUCCAGGUUAGGACAUUGGAAACAUUCUCCUCCUUUCCCUUUAAUUUUGUUUUUGUUUUUGUUAUUGGCACCAAAUAGUUCAUAUGGCAGGACUUCUAUGGACCCACCGGCGACAUAAUGACACAGAGGCUUAUUAUCAUUUUAAAGCUUAGGCCUUAGCUCGGGAAAUAUCUCAGCUAGCUUAUCUUAACCCUACUAAUCCUAGCCUAUGUCCUGUCAUAUGCCUACAUUCACCUUUCUGCUCUGCUCUGGUCCAGCAGUUCACCCCUAGUCAACUGGUGAAUCUCCUGUGCCUCAGUUCUUCUCCCAGAGUCCCCGUCUCUGCCUGGAAGUCCCACCUUCCACUUCUUGCUCAGCCAUUGGCUAUCAGAUCUUUAUUACAUUCAAUAGGCAGGUAAGGAAGCAUGAAUGUUUACACAAAACGAGGCCAGUGAUGGGCCAUAGAUAGGACAGUACAAAGAUCUGGCUAGUACUUAGCUCUCUGCCAGUUUGGCAUGCAGUGGUUGGAUAUACAGAGACAACCUUCACACAGUGUACCAAAGGUUACCCAACAGGUUCAUCUUGGUGCUCAGAUUAGAAACCUAGCAAUUACCCAGGAAUCCUUUCUCCACCACUCUCUGUGUCCCAUGGGAAAUGGGCUCCUUUUAUUUACUUCAAAAAGCAAAGUGGAGGUUCUUGGGGCUGCGGCCUUUGCUCUUAGCACUGCUAUACUGCCAUGUUGG